GCCGCGUUGGCGUAGUGGUAGCGCGUCGCACUUGUAAUGCGAAGGUCACUCGUUCAAUCCGGGUACGUGGCA
rfam:Amanita muscaria Koide BX008 unplaced genomic scaffold scaffold_155, whole genome shotgun sequence.